rnacentral:rRNA from 1 species
GACGAACGCUGGCGGCGUGCUUAACACAUGCAAGUCGAGCGGUAAGGCCCUUUUGGGGGUACGACGAGCGGCGAACGGGUGAGUAACACGUGGGUGACCUGCCCUCAGCUCUGGGAUAAGCCUGGGAAACUGGGUCUAAUACUGGAUAUGACCUUUCCUCGCAUGGGGGUUGGGGUGGAAAGUUUUUCGGCGUGGGGAGUGGGCCCGCGGCCUAUCAGCUUGUUGGUGGGGUGAUGGCCUACCAAGGCGACGACGGGUAGCCGGCCUGAGAGGGCGACCGGCCACACUGGGACUGAGACACGGCCCAGACUCCUACGGGAGGCAGCAGUGGGGAAGUAUUGCGCAAUGGGCGGAAGCCUGACGCAGCGACGCCGCGUGGGGGAUGACGGCCUC